UCCUCGUUAGUAUAGUGGACAGUAUCUCUGCUUGUCACGCAGAAGACCAGGGUUCAAUUCCCUGACGGGGAG
rnacentral:tRNA from 1 species